GUUUAUCACAGGCUUGGCCUUAUCGCUUAUAGAACAAUGGUCGUCUGUUACCCGCACUAGUCAGCCUUAGCCGGGACGCAGUGGUGAUCCAGUCCUCGAUCCGGUAUGGAAAUGUGCAGUCUCUGGAACACGCCCCACAUCUCAUGAGGAGUAGUUUCCGGAAAUGGUGAGAUUGUUCUCCAUGGUGGCAUUAUGGCCUGAGCUUCGUUGGAAAGGACUGCCUGACUGCUGAUAUCACCGAAGCUUGAAUCAGGGCAAUCGUGGUACGUUAAAACGAGACCUCUGUGUCUACUCUGGUUGGAGUACUUGGGACGCCUAGUCGGGACCUAAGAUUGGAAGCUGAAGUGAAAUUAACUCCACCACAUGCAGUAGUCAGUAAAUAGCCUCAGCAAGCAGAACGAUUUAAGUAAAAAUUGCCGAAAAACCUCCAUGUAUUCAAACUCCUUCGAUUUUCAAAAAUCAUGUCAGAGGCGACUACGUGGAAUCUGACCUGUCACCAUUUCCAUUAUUCUCUUAACUGUCCACACUUCCUCUCCUGUGCGGGAGCGGGACGUGGGUGACUUCAGAAUACUCCCGACGUAACCUCUGCGUGGCGUACAAGUCUGCCUAAAAGGGGGCCAGAAACUUCUCUUCUCUGGGUCUUUAUCUAUCACCAGAGGUAUUUAUUCCGUGCUCUGGUUCUUUUUAAAGCUCUGUCCUAAACCCCAUAUCAGUUCUGACUUCAAUUUAAUAAGAAAUGUCUAAAAUCUAAAACUAGAAAAUACAGAUAAAAAAGUAUGUUGUAAGAUCUUCUUUACAAUGUUAUAAUUCGAUUUUAUGGCGUAUGUGGAGACGGAUACUCUGUAAGCCUUUUCACUAGACAUUCCCUCAAAUCGAGUAGAGCCUCUCGCCGGGAAUAUUUAUGCCCUCCCUCAGCACUUUGCUCGAGGUUCCUUCAAUACUAAUUCGUUACACUAUGUAUAACGAAUACAUAGUGCGCUCUGCGCUUAAACUUAAUAUAUGAAAGCAAGAAGUCAAAAUUUUGGAACUAGCAAAGGAACUAUGGAUAUAAACCCUUCAUUUCCCUCCCCGCGGUUUGUGAUCGGCUGGCGUCCGAAGAAGUUCUACCAAGGAAAAUGCCUACAUUACUGCUUUGUCUCUGCAUCAUAGUAACAUUGGUUGACAGCUAUCCUGUGGUGGAUGUGAUUUCAAGGUCUGAAAGACCAACAUCCACAUCAGCGAGAUACGGACAACAGAAGAUCUAAAGGAACGCAAGAAAGAAACAAAGAAUGACGCAAUUGUUGCUCGAUCUUUAAAAUCGGUUUUGGAUUAGGAAUUUGUGGAAAUAUAUUAGGAAUCAAUGCAGGUGCAGGCAUCAGUCAUGGUCGAGGAGGCUGAGGAGAAGUGGGCAUGCAUUCUGGACAUCCAGCAUAUGUUCCCUAUUACGAGGCACCAAAUAAGUACUAUUAUUAGUUCUGCCGCCAUUACGACAAUCAGCAUCUUUCUCAUAAUUAUUCUUGCAAAUGAAUGGAGUUGUGUUAAUACAUAUUCGCUGGUAACUUA